UACAGAGGUCUCAAGCGUUGUUCGGAUUCAUUGGGCGUAAAGAGCUCGUAGGCGGUUUGUCGCGUCUGCCGUGAAAGUCCGGGGCUCAACUCCGGAUCUGCGGUGGGUACGGGCAGACUAGAGUGAUGUAGGGGAGACUGGAAUUCCUGGUGUAGCGGUGAAAUGCGCAGAUAUCAGGAGGAACACCGAUGGCGAAGGCAGGUCUCUGGGCAUUAACUGACGCUGAGGAGCGAAAGCGUGGGGAGCGAACAGG
rnacentral:rRNA from 1 species